UGACCCCAAGGUCACCGCAAUGUCGGGAGAUGUGCCCGAUAAACUGCCGAUACCAGUGGAAAUCAAUAUGGAAAUAAAAGAGCAAUUGAAGAAAGAAAUUCGACAGUUUGGAAAAUAUGAGAAAAUCUUAAAAUUGCUUGAAGGAGUGCAAGGACCUCCAGAAGUGCAGAAAAAAUUUGUUGCAUAUGCCAUGAAGGAAGCGGCAAGAUUUAAAAGACAAGACUUAAUAAGUCACCUUGGGAAGGUACGAGGUAAACUAGAACGUGACCAGUUUCUCAACAAAGAUGAUGGCUCCCCCAAAUUAUAAUCCUGGUAUCGCAAUGAUCAACGAGAAAGCAGAACCAGUUGGCUGUCCUGGAGUGCGACCAGAUACUAUUGAUGCCUCCCAGCAUGAGUUAGUUAGGAAUUGUCUUCUUGCAGCUAAGAAAAUGCAUUGCAACU